rnacentral:rRNA from 1 species
UACAGAGGGUGCGAGCGUUAAUCGGAAUUACUGGGCGUAAAACGUGCGUAGACGGUUAUGUAAGUCAGGUGUGAAAGCCCCGGGCUCAACCUGGGAAUUGCAUUUGAGACUGCAUAGCUAGGGUGCGGAAGAGGGAAGCGGAAUUUCCGGUGUAGCGGUGAAAUGCGUAGAUAUCGGAAGGAACAUCAGUGGCGAAAGCGGCUUCCUGGUCCAGCACCGACGUUCAGGCACGAAAGCGUGGGGAGCAAACAGG